rnacentral:rRNA from 1 species
UUUUGACUAUACAAAGGUAUUGUAAUAAGAUUUUAAUUGAAUGCUAAAAGAAUGGAAAUUUAAAAAAAAACUUUUUUAAAAAUAAAAAUUGAAUUUUUUUUAAUUUGUGCAAAAACAAUUAUACUUAUUAAAGACAAGAAGACCCUAAGAAUUUAAGAUUUUACAAUUAAAAAGUUUUUUUUUAAAAUCUUGAUUGGGGCGAUCAAAAAAUAUUAAUAACUUUUUAAAAUUUAAAUUGAUCUAUUAUUAAUAAACUAAUGAAUUAAAUACUCUAGGGAUAACAGCGUAAUAAUUUUUGAUAGAUCUUAUUGACAAAAUAGUUUGCGACCUCGAUGUUGGAUUAGGAUUCUUUUUUAAUGAAGAAGUUAAAAAAAGAAGUUUGUUCAACUUUUAAAUUCCUACUUGAUCUGAGUUCAGACCGG